CAGGACUCUUAAAUCAGCUUUAUUUUCCUCUAAUAGACACUUAGCAUUGCAAAAUUUUGCAUUCUACAGUCUUACAAACUUUAUUAUUAGCAGCAGAACAGAAACAUCGCAAGACCUCAAAACACAAAUAAAUACCAAAUGAAACCACACAUAACAUAAACAGAAUACGAAACAUCGUAAUGCUAUCGGGAAAUGAGACAUGUUGCUAACUCCUACUGACAGGAUUAUUGCUGAGCAAUAACUCACACUGUCUCGGUUUCUUAGAAGAGCGGAAGAACACAGGACGCUAAUCACUGGUCACAAUCACUUGGACUGUCAAGAUGGGGCCUCACAGCGAGCGGUUACUACAGACGGCAAGUGUCAAAACAGGCAGAUUAAAAAUACAGUCCAAUGAGAGAUUGGCCUUCUUUGGUCUUUGUUUUUGGGUAACAGAGCUGAACACAAGAGGCGUGCCCUCAGAGAAAAGAACGCAACCCCACAACAGGCUGCAUUGACCCCCACUUCCUCAGUCAGCGCCUACAGAUUCUUGGGGAAAUCCUCGGGAGGAAGGCCGGCUUUUGUGUUUCCCAAUUAGGUCAUUUAUUUGCCUUUGAAGGUUAUCUUACUUAAGGGGACUAAGGGUGUAGACCAGUUACUGACUACGGAGUGGCACAGUGACCCUGUACUUGUCACCUCCUCUCCACAGUGAACUCACAUGAAAGACUCCAGACAUGGUGUGGCGGGGAAAUGAAUCGCACACUCUACUUGGCUGCUUGGGCCUGCUUAGCCAUACGGCUGCCUUGGUGUGGUGCCCACCUGCCUAGCAAUGGUGCCCAGGGAACCCUCCAAAUGGACAACAGGCUGGGAUAUGUCCAGGCCUUUGGGACAGGCUGCUGGCCUCUUCUUACUGUCCCCACUGACCUGGCUCCCUGAUGCCACAGUGCUCAUGGCAACCAAUACCAGCUGGGGUGAGACGGGUAAUGAUGGCUGGGUCACUUGCCAACUAUCACCUCACCAGACCCAGACCCCGUGGACACAUUCUAGCUUGGAGAAAUGAGCUGCUAUGGAUUUGCAAACAGAAGACAGAACCAUGAUCUUAGUCUGAGAAGAUUUGGGGGCAGACCCUCAUUUGUCUCACACACUCAGACACAAUGGCAUGCCUGGAACUCACACUAGCUCUCCUGCAGCUAGUCAGGAAAGUGUGGGAUUGAAAGUUUAAAAAAAAAAAAAAAAAAGAGAAAAGAGAAAAAAAUAGUACCCUAAGCUCCACCAAGCCCUUCUCCAUUCACUGAUGGUCCCAAGCAGAGGGAUGUAUAGGAGGGUAGGGACUGACCCAUCCUGUCAGCUGUCAGGUGGGAAAUGUCUUGGCCAGGUACAAAGUGCAGUCCCUGCCAUGCUUGGCAGUGAGCAGGGAAGGAGGAGGCAAGGGCCGUGCUGUUGGCACCAGCGGUCCCCCUGGUUUCCUCUUGGGCUUGCAGGAGUAGUCCACUCAGGACCCUGUUACUUGGCAUGCCCAGACAUCCUCCCCUUUGCUGGGUGCAGCCCAUCACUUGUCAGGCCUGCCAUGGGUGACUGCUAACCAUAUAAUGUUCAGUUACAGUGUCAUCAUUAAUGUCCAGCCCAAGGUACCAGGCAUGUGGUCCCAACUCCAGGUGGGACUCUGGGGCAGACUAAGGAGACUUGGGAAGGUGGCUAGCUACCCCUCGAGGGACUGUGUCUGACCUCCAGGUCCUCAUGAGGCUGACCACAGAGAGUCAGACAAAGCCAAUUAAAAGGGGAACUGGUGGCGAUAGGUCUGAAAGCCCCACUGGAGGCUGCCCAGGGGGCAAAGCCACAGUGUGUCAUGCCACAGCUCCUGGGAGUCCCAGUCCUGGGAGGAAAUGGAGAAAGAACAGAGAAAGAAAAGAGGCAGGCAGGGCGGUGGCUGUAAGCACUCACCUCCCUCAGCUGACUGCUGUGCUGUCUUAGGGACACUGUCCAUCUGUGCACAGGCUACUCCAAGAAGGGGAGACAGAUGUGGGCUGCGGUACAGGACCUCUCAACAGCCCUUUGCUUCUUCUAAUGCUGAGAAUGGGUCCUAGAGAAACUGGUAGCUGGGUGGGCUGGGGUGUGGGCACUGCUCUCUCCUCAAUGAGCCCAUCACACGCACCCAUCUGCAAUCUCAUCCACUGCUCUGUCUUACCCACAGCUUGGCAUGCUACACAGCUUCGGUUGGGUCUGUCUGUCCCCAAGAAGUAAGGGAGGCCCAGCCAGGGCCCUUCAGGCUACCUUCCUUUCCCUGACCAAUGAAGGUGGAAGGCGCUCACUCCCAGUCUUGUCCUGGGUUGUUACUGACACAGGCUUUCAGCUACUCACAAAAACCAUGGGUCAGGCCUCAAGACACAUUGCCACUUAGUGGCUUGCAUCUUCCCAGGGGCAGUUUUGAGCUGGCACAGGAAACUGUGUCAGGCAAGCAGGAGUUGUGUCCAAUUUCCUCAUGGAGGCCAUGGAACAAAUGACCCUUUAAAGGAUGAGCAAUUGACACUUUUGCACAGCCAGGUACACACACCACAUGACCACCCUGUGUUUUGUGUGGCCAGGACCCUGUGAGAUGGUGAGGGCUGGCUGCCAGACCGGCAACAGGGCCUCAACUAGGCUGAGACCACAGCCCAAAACUGGCCCAGGUGGUGAGCACCAAAGGGGCACCAAGGAAUGCUGAGAUGGGGUGGAGCGAGGCACACCCAGGUAGGAUAUGGCGUGCUCCACACCUCCCAGGAGACGUGUCUGGGCACGUCCUUCACACACUGAGAGAGCGGGCACUACUCUACUGUUACCAAGAAAUGCAAGAGACACUCUACAGAACAGAAAGCUGUGACAUGCUGGGCCCUCAUCCCAGGGGACAACAGUUACUUACUUUACUCACUUCCUGCAGGCACCCAGGGGAAGGCCAGGAGGGCGCUUAUCA
rnacentral:lncRNA from 1 species